rnacentral:tRNA from 1 species
AGCCCCAUCGUCUAGUGGCCAAGGAUACAGGGCUUUGAACCCUGGGACAGGAGUUCGAAUCUCCUUGGGGCUA